GUUGUUCACAAUGGCAGAACCCAAAGUCAAGCACAUGGAAUUAUGUAGAGAACUGAGAAGCCUCUCUAUGCUGCUGCUGUUAUGGGGUAAUUUUUAGUCACUUACUUGGAAGAAGGGCUGGUUUUGACUCUUCCCUUUCCUGUCCUCUCCUGUGUUCUCUCUCCUUCGUCCAUUAGCAGAGGGACCUUCCUGGUUCUGCCAUUUCUUAAAAACCCAGUUCACUGAUGAGAAGUUUCAAGUACAGCUUGGCAAAUCCAGAGGAUGCCGGGGGAAGCAGCUGAUACAAUUCACAUGUUCACUCAUCUACUGCAUAUGGAAUAUAAGGAAGAGGAGUCCCACAAAAGUCCUGAUGAUACUUUGGUCCAGUUUCACCUGAAAUCAAAAAGAUUGUAUUGCUUCAGUCUGUCCCUGGGAAACCACUAA
rnacentral:lncRNA from 1 species